rnacentral:tRNA from 1 species
GGCCUCGUCGCUCAGCUGGUAGAGCAUGCGCGUACAAAGCGUAGGCGGCGUCCAUGCGUGGGUUCGAAUCCCACCGAGGCUA